UACAGAGGUCUCGAGCGUUGUCCGGAUUUAUUGGGCGUAAAGAGCGUGUAGGCGGUUAGGUAGGUCCGUUGUGAAAACUCGAGGCUCAACCUCGAGACGCCGAUGGAAACCAUCUAACUAGAGUCCGGAAGAGGAGAGUGGAAUUCCUGGUGUAGCGGUGAAAUGCGCAGAUAUCAGGAAGAACACCCGUGGCUAAGGCGGCUCUCUAGUACGGUACUGACGCUGAGACGCGAAAGCGUGGGGAGCGAACAGG
rnacentral:rRNA from 1 species